UCUUCCCGCCGUCACUGUCCGGCAGGGCGCUCCCUUCAUCCUGAGAUCGCGCUGCCCUGCCUUCUUGCGCAGCCUGCCCCUGGGUAGAGUCCUACACAGCGUGGGCAUCUCUGUUUCAACCACACUGCAUGCAGAGGGACACCAGGAUCAGGCUCAGCCCAAAUUCUGCCCGCCUUCUCAUGCCACCAUGAAAAGAGCAAGCUCACCCGUGUGGCAGCCUAGGCCCCCAGGUGGGAACCACUCACCCUGUCAGCUGCUGACUCUGCCAGUGACUACAUUUCAGGGGCAGUGCCUGGUGCCAGGUAUGCGGGACAGGGGAUAAAUAUCUGGCCAAGAGAGAGAAGCACCCAGGGCUCCUUUCCAGUGCGCCCUGCCCUCCACCCUGGACCCUUCAGAGAUCAUCUCCAAGGCACAGCAAUGUGAGGACUCUGGCCACAGCCGCCAAACCAUCCUGCAGGGCUCAUUCCAGGCUCCUGCCCUGCAAGGUGCCAUGGCCCAUGCAGCCCCAGCUGCAGAAGGAGCAAGAGGACCACUUUUUCCGAAGGCUACAAUGGCCUCCCCCAGCCUGUUUACAGAAGAAAGAUUUUAAAGGAGUAACAAACAUGUAACGCGUUCUGCUUGUGCUGGGCUGUGCUUGUAACAUCCCUUCCUGUCCACUCCGGGGACAGCCAGGGUCUGCAGGAACCUCGGGACAAACACCCCUGACACCCUCCAGCUGGCCCUGUCCUCCACCAUGAGGCCUGCCCUGGCCCCACUCCCAUUAAAUGUGGCAGCACCGGCUGCUCUGUCCACAGCAUUCGCGGGGUGGCACACACAGGACCCUUCCUGUCCUGCUCUUCCUCUUGUCCUUCUAACACACCACACCAUCAAUUUACUAGGCCACAUAGAUGCUCCAUGAAUAUUUAUUGUCUAAAUGGAAGAAUCCUCA